rnacentral:rRNA from 1 species
UACGGGGGGGGCAAGCGUUGUUCGGAAUUACUGGGCGUAAAGGGCGCGUAGGCGGCUUAACAAGUCACUUGUGAAAUCUCCGGGCUUAACUCGGAACGGCCAAGUGAAACUGUCAAGCUAGAGUGCGGAAGGGGCAAUCGGAAUUCUUGGUGUAGCGGUGAAAUGCGUAGAUAUCAAGAGGAACACCUGAGGUGAAGACGGGUUGCUGGGCUGACACUGACGCUGAGGCGCGAAAGCCAGGGGAGCAAACAGG